CCUAGGGUGGCUGCAGUGGGGAAUAUUGGACAAUGGGCGAAAGCCUGAUCCAGCCAUGCCGCGUGUGUGAAGAAGGCCUUCGGGUUGUAAAGCACUUUCAGUGGGGAAGAAAGCCUUGGGGCUAAUACCCUCGAGGAAGGACAUCACCCACAGAAGAAGCACCGGCUAACUCCGUGCCAGCAGCCGCGGUAAUACGGAGGGUGCGAGCGUUAAUCGGAAUUACUGGGCGUAAAGCGCGCGUAGGCGGUCUGAUAAGCCGGUUGUGAAAGCCCCGGGCUCAACCUGGGAACGGCAUCCGGAACUGUCGGGCGAGAGUGCAGGAGAGGAAGGUAGAAUUCCCGGUGUAGCGGUGAAGUGCGUAGAGAUCGGGAGGAAUACCAGUGGCGAAGGCGGCCUUCUGGACUGACACUGACGCUGAGGUGCGAAAGCGUGGGUAGCAAACAGGAUUAGAUACCCCGGUAGUC
rnacentral:rRNA from 1 species